rnacentral:lncRNA from 1 species
AUCAUCAUUCCUUUUUUGGAUAUUCAAUCAACAUGCAAUUCAACUUGAAAACUAUCUUCGCCGUCCUUGCCAUCUUUGGCCUUGUCAUGCCCGCUGCUUUGGGACUCCAAAAGGCCCAACAUUCCAACUCUAGAAACAGAAGAAGUGCUACUCGUCCUCAUAAGCAAAGCCAUAUUGUAGGACGAAACCGUCUAUAAAAUGUACUUAAGACGAGGCCAUGUA